AGAUUAAGUUAUUAAGGGCGCACGGUGGAUGCCUUGGCACUAGAAGCCGACGAAGGACGUUACUAACGACGAUAUGCUUUGGGGAGCUGUAAGUAAGCUUUGAUCCAGAGAUUUCCGAAUGGGGAAACCCAGCACGAGUUAUGUCGUGUUAUCGAUAUGUGAAUACAUAGCAUAUCUGAAGGCAGACGCGGAGAACUGAAACAUCUUAGUACCCGCAGGAAGAGAAAGAAAAAUCGAUUCCCUGAGUAGCGGCGAGCGAAACGGGAAGAGCCCAAACCAACGAGCUUGCUUGUUGGGGUUGUAGGACACUCUAUACGGAGUUACAAAAGAACAGACUAGACGAAUCAUCUGGAAAGAUGAAUCAAAGAAGGUAAUAAUCCUGUAGUCGAAAGUUUGUUCACUCUUGAGUGGAUCCUGAGUACGACGGAACACGAGAAAUUCCGUCGGAAUCUGGGAGGACCAUCUCCCAAGGCUAAAUACUCUCUAGUGACCGAUAGUGAACCAGUACCGUGAGGGAAAGGUGAAAAGUACCCCGGAAGGGGAGUGAAAUAGAACUUGAAACCGUGUGCUUACAAGUAGUCAGAGCCCGUUAAUGGGUGAUGGCGUGCCUUUUGUAGAAUGAACCGGCGAGUUACGAUUUGAUGCAAGGUUAAGCAGUGAAUGUGGAGCCGUAGCGAAAGCGAGUCUGAAUAGGGCGUUGAGUAUUUGGUCGUAGACCCGAAACCAGGUGAUCUACCCAUGACCAGGUUGAAGUUCAGGUAACACUGAAUGGAGGACCGAACCGACUUACGUUGAAAAGUGAGCGGAUGAGUUGUGGGUAGCGGAGAAAUUCCAAUCGAACCUGGAGAUAGCUGGUUCUCUCCGAAAUAGCUUUAGGGCUAGCCUCAAGUGAUGAUUAUUGGAGGUAGAGCACUGUUUGGACGAGGGGCCCUUAUCGGGUUACCGAAUUCAGACAAACUCCGAAUGCCAAUCAAUUUAACUUGGGAGUCAGAACGCGGGUGAUAAGGUCCGUGUUCGAAAGGGAAACAGCCCAGACCACCAGCUAAGGUCCCAAAAUAUAUGUUAAGUGGAAAAGGAUGUGGCGUUGCCCAGACAACUAGGAUGUUGGCUUAGAAGCAGCCAUCAUUUAAAGAGUGCGUAAUAGCUCACUAGUCGAGUGACACUGCGCCGAAAAUGUACCGGGGCUAAACAUAUUACCGAAGCUGUGGAUUGUCCGUAAGGACAAUGGUAGGAGAGCGUUCUAAGGGCGUUGAAGCAUGAUCGCAAGGACAUGUGGAGCGCUUAGAAGUGAGAAUGCCGGUGUGAGUAGCGAAAGACGGGUGAGAAUCCCGUCCACCGAUUGACUAAGGUUUCCAGAGGAAGGCUCGUCCGCUCUGGGUUAGUCGGGUCCUAAGCUGAGGCCGAUAGGCGUAGGCGAUGGAUAACAGGUUGAUAUUCCUGUACCACCAUUAUUCGUUUUAAGCGAUGGGGGGACGCAGUAGGAUAGGCGAAGCGUACGAUUGGAUUGUACGUCCAAGCAGUGAGAUUGAGUGUUAGGCAAAUCCGGCACUCUUAAGAUUGAGCUGUGAUGGGGAGAGGAAAUUGUUUCCUUGAGUCGUUGAUUUCACACUGCCAAGAAAAGCCUCUAGCUAGAAUUGUGGUGCCCGUACCGCAAACCGACACAGGUAGUCAAGAUGAGAAUUCUAAGGUGAGCGAGCGAACUCUCGUUAAGGAACUCGGCAAAAUGACCCCGUAACUUCGGGAGAAGGGGUGCUCUUUAGGGUUAACGCCCAGGAGAGCCGCAGUGAAUAGGCCCAAGCGACUGUUUAUCAAAAACACAGGUCUCUGCUAAACCGUAAGGUGAUGUAUAGGGGCUGACGCCUGCCCGGUGCUGGAAGGUUAAGAGGAGUGGUUAGCUUCUGCGAAGCUACGAAUCGAAGCCCCAGUAAACGGCGGCCGUAACUAUAACGGUCCUAAGGUAGCGAAAUUCCUUGUCGGGUAAGUUCCGACCCGCACGAAAGGCGUAACGAUUUGGGCACUGUCUCAACGAGAGACUCGGUGAAAUCAUAGUACCUGUGAAGAUGCAGGUUACCCGCGACAGGACGGAAAGACCCCGUGGAGCUUUACUGUAGUCUGAUAUUGAAAUUCGGCACAGCUUGUACAGGAUAGGUAGGAGCCUGAGAUACGUGAGCGCUAGCUUACGUGGAGGCGUUGGUGGGAUACUACCCUCGCUGUGUUGGAUUUCUAACCCGCACCAUUUAUCAUGGUGGGAGACAGUGUCAGAUGGGCAGUUUGACUGGGGCGGUCGCCUCCUAAAGAGUAACGGAGGCGCUCAAAGGUUUCCUCAGAAUGGUUGGAAAUCAUUCAUAGAGUGUAAAGGCAUAAGGAAGCUUGACUGCGAGACUUACAAGUCGAGCAGGGUCGAAAGACGGACUUAGUGAUCCGGUGGUUCCGCAUGGAAGGGCCAUCGCUCAACGGAUAAAAGCUACCCCGGGGAUAACAGGCUUAUCUCCCCCAAGAGUUCACAUCGACGGGGAGGUUUGGCACCUCGAUGUCGGCUCAUCGCAUCCUGGGGCUGUAGUCGGUCCCAAGGGUUGGGCUGUUCGCCCAUUAAAGCGGUACGCGAGCUGGGUUCAGAACGUCGUGAGACAGUUCGGUCCCUAUCCGUCGUGGGCGUAGGAAAUUUGAGAGGAGCUGUCCUUAGUACGAGAGGACCGGGAUGGACAUACCUCUGGUGUACCAGUUGUCGUGCCAACGGCAUCGCUGGGUAGCUAUGUAUGGACGGGAUAAGUGCUGAAAGCAUCUAAGCAUGAAGCCCCCCUCAAGAUGAGAUUUCCCAACUUCGGUUAUAAGAUCCCUCAAAGAUGAUGAGGUUAAUAGGUUCGAGGUGGAAGCAUAGCGAUAUGUGCAGCUGACGAAUACUAAUCGAUCGAAGACUUAAUCAAAUUUUA
rnacentral:rRNA from 1 species